CCUCCGGGAUCUGCUGCGGGCUGAUGAGGUGGACGUGGCAGUCGACCGCGCCCGCCGUCAGGAUGAGGCCGUUCCCGGCGAGGAUCUCGGUGGACGGGCCGAUGACGAGCUCCGGCGAGACCCCGUCCAUCGUGUCCGGGUUCCCGGCCUUGCCCAGCCCGACGAUCCGCCCGUCGCGCACCCCGACGUCGGCCUUCACGACGCCCCAGUGGUCGAGCACCAGCGCGCCGGUGAUGAUCAGAUCGGCGGCACCCUCGGCCCGGGUGGCGCGCGACUGGCCCAUCGACUCGCGGAUG
rnacentral:sRNA from 1 species